CGGACGGGUGAGUAACGCGUGGGUAACCUGCCUCAUACAGGGGGAUAACAGUUAGAAAUGACUGCUAAUACCGCAUAAGCACACAGAAUCGCAUGAUUCGGUGUGAAAAACUCCGGUGGUAUGAGAUGGACCCGCGUCUGAUUAGGUAGUUGGCGGGGUAACGGCCCACCAAGCCGACGAUCAGUAGCCGACCUGAGAGGGUGACCGGCCACAUUGGGACUGAGACACGGCCCAGACUCCUACGGGAGGCAGCAG
rnacentral:rRNA from 1 species